rnacentral:rRNA from 1 species
AACGAACGCUGGCGGCAUGCCUAACACAUGCAAGUCGAACGAGACCUUCGGGUCUAGUGGCGCACGGGUGCGUAACGCGUGGGAAUCUGCCCUUGGGUUCGGAAUAACAGUUAGAAAUGACUGCUAAUACCGGAUAAUGUCUUCGGACCAAAGAUUUAUCGCCCAGGGAUGAGCCCGCGUAGGAUUAGCUAGUUGGUGAGGUAAAGGCUCACCAAGGCGACGAUCCUUAGCUGGUCUGAGAGGAUGAUCAGCCACACUGGGACUGAGACACGGCCCAGACUCCUACGGGAGGCAGCAGUGGGGAAUAUUGGACAAUGGGCGAAAGCCUGAUCCAGCAAUGCCGCGUGAGUGAUGAAGGCCUUAGGGUUGUAAAGCUCUUUCAGUGGGGAAGAUAAUGACUGUACCCACAGAAGAAGCCCCGGCUAACUCCGUACCAGCAGCCGC